GCGGAGGGUUUGAGGCAGGCCCAAGAGCGAGCCCAUGGUCUUCCGACGCGGGGCCAGGGGCGGGCCCCAGGAUCCGGAGCUUCGUGCGGGGCCGAGUCCAGGUUUGGGGCCCGGGAGGCGGGGCCAGUUAGGGCGACUGUCCCUGGGAUCGUCGGGUCAGGCCUUGGGCUAACGUAGGCACUCUCGCAGUUCCUCCGCCUUCAGGAAGGUCUUUUCAGCAGGGGCCUUACGGGUGCAUGCUUCGGUCCUGGAGGCCUUAUCCUAGCCUCCUCUCCAUCAGCGCCACCCGUCUGGGGCCCGAAAGGAGGGAGCUUUCCCUCUGUCCCCCAGCCUUUGGACUGUCACCAAACAAGCCAUUCGUUCAUCAAAUACUUUUUAAGCGCCUACCAUGUGCCUGACAAGGGAGAUGUAACGGUGAGAAAAACUAGGUGUGGUCCAGGCCCUUCAGGGGCUCAGGUGCUCGUGGAAGAAGUGGACAUUGAAGUACUUAUCACACAAAUGAGGAUAAAAGUACGAUAGCGAUAUCUACCACGAAGAUAGGGUCUCUCUCUCUGCCACCCAGGCCAGAGUGCAGUUGACGCAG
rnacentral:lncRNA from 1 species